AAUGAACGUUGGCGGCGUGGAUUAGGCAUGCAAGUCAAGCGAGAAGAGUUUGGUAGCUUGCUAUUGAACUCGGAAAGCGGCGAAAGGGAGAGUAACGCGUAGUUAUGUACCCAGGGGUUCGGAAUAGCAACGGGAAACUGUGGGUAAUGCCGAAUAACAUCUCCGGAUCAAAGGUGUGAUUCCGCCCUUGGAGCAGACUGCGUCCUACUAGCUAGUUGGCGGGGUAAUGGCCCACCAAGGCGACAAUGGGUAGCGGGUGUGAGAGCAUGACCCGUCUCACUGGGACUGAGACACUGCCCAGACACCUACGGGUGGCUGCAGUCGAGAAUCUUCGGCAAUGGGCGAAAGCCUGACCGAGCGACGCCGCGUGCGGGAUGAAGGCCCUCGGGUUGUAAACCGCUGUCGUAGGGGAGGAAGGCUCCGUGAAGAACGGGGUUUGACCUAUCCUAGGAGGAAGUACGGGCUAAGUUCGUGCCAGCAGCCGCCGUAACAC
rnacentral:rRNA from 1 species